UAGAGUUUGAUCAUGGCUCAGAGCGAACGCUGGCGGUAUGCUUAACACAUGCAAGUCGAGCGAGAAAGUGGCUUCGGCCACGAGUACAGCGGCGGACGGGUGCGUAACACGUGGAUAAUCUGCCUUCAGGUCUGGGAUAACCCUGGGAAACUAGAGCUAAUACCGGAUAAGACCACAGGUUCCAUGGAACCAAGGGUAAAAGGCGGCCUUCGGGCUGUCUCCUGAAGAUGAGUCCGCGUCCCAUCAGGUUGUUGGUGAGGUAACGGCUCACCAAGCCGAAGACGGGUAGCCGACCUUAGCGGGUGAUCGGCCACACGGGGACUGAGACACGGCCCCGACUCCUACGGGAGGCAGCAGUGGGGAAUCUUGGGCAAUGGGCGAAAGCCUGACCCAGCAAUACCGCGUGAGGGAUGAAGGCCUUCGGGUCGUAAACCUCUGUCAGCAGGAACGAUGGGUCUCCGUGCUAAUACCACGGAGACUUGACGGUACCUGCAAAGGAAGCCCCGGCUAACUCCGUGCCAGCAGCCGCGGUAAUACGGAGGGGGCAAGCGUUGCUCGGAAUUACUGGGCGUAAAGGGUCCGCAGUGGCCUCGUAAGUUGAAUGUGAAAUCUCAGGGCUUAACCCUGAAACUG
rnacentral:rRNA from 1 species